UUAAGCGACUAAGCGUACACGGUGGAUGCCCUGGCAGUCAGAGGCGAUGAAGGACGUGCUAAUCUGCGAUAAGCGUCGGUGAGGUGAUAUGAACCGUUAUAACCGGCGAUUUCCGAAUGGGGAAACCCAGUGUGUUUCGACACACUAUCAUUAACUGAAUCCAUAGGUUAAUGAGGCGAACCGGGGGAACUGAAACAUCUAAGUACCCCGAGGAAAAGAAAUCAACCGAGAUUCCCCCAGUAGCGGCGAGCGAACGGGGAGGAGCCCAGAGCCUGAAUCAGUGUGUGUGUUAGUGGAAGCGUCUGGAAAGGCGUGCGAUACAGGGUGACAGCCCCGUACACAAAAAUGCACAUAUUGUGAGCUCGAUGAGUAGGGCGGGACACGUGGUAUCCUGUCUGAAUAUGGGGGGACCAUCCUCCAAGGCUAAAUACUCCUGACUGACCGAUAGUGAACCAGUACCGUGAGGGAAAGGCGAAAAGAACCCCGGCGAGGGGAGUGAAAAAGAACCUGAAACCGUGUACGUACAAGCAGUGGGAGCCUCUUAAUGGGGUGACUGCGUACCUUUUGUAUAAUGGGUCAGCGACUUAUAUUCUGUAGCAAGGUUAACCGAAUAGGGGAGCCGAAGGGAAACCGAGUCUUAACUGGGCGUUAAGUUGCAGGGUAUAGACCCGAAACCCGGUGAUCUAGCCAUGGGCAGGUUGAAGGUUGGGUAACACUAACUGGAGGACCGAACCGACUAAUGUUGAAAAAUUAGCGGAUGACUUGUGGCUGGGGGUGAAAGGCCAAUCAAACCGGGAGAUAGCUGGUUCUCCCCGAAAGCUAUUUAGGUAGCGCCUCGUGAAUUCAUCUCCGGGGGUAGAGCACUGUUUCGGCAAGGGGGUCAUCCCGACUUACCAACCCGAUGCAAACUGCGAAUACCGGAGAAUGUUAUCACGGGAGACACACGGCGGGUGCUAACGUCCGUCGUGAAGAGGGAAACAACCCAGACCGCCAGCUAAGGUCCCAAAGUCAUGGUUAAGUGGGAAACGAUGUGGGAAGGCCCAGACAGCCAGGAUGUUGGCUUAGAAGCAGCCAUCAUUUAAAGAAAGCGUAAUAGCUCACUGGUCGAGUCGGCCUGCGCGGAAGAUGUAACGGGGCUAAACCAUGCACCGAAGCUGCGGCAGCGACACUAUGUGUUGUUGGGUAGGGGAGCGUUCUGUAAGCCUGCGAAGGUGUGCUGUGAGGCAUGCUGGAGGUAUCAGAAGUGCGAAUGCUGACAUAAGUAACGAUAAAGCGGGUGAAAAGCCCGCUCGCCGGAAGACCAAGGGUUCCUGUCCAACGUUAAUCGGGGCAGGGUGAGUCGACCCCUAAGGCGAGGCCGAAAGGCGUAGUCGAUGGGAAACAGGUUAAUAUUCCUGUACUUGGUGUUACUGCGAAGGGGGGACGGAGAAGGCUAUGUUGGCCGGGCGACGGUUGUCCCGGUUUAAGCGUGUAGGCUGGUUUUCCAGGCAAAUCCGGAAAACCAAGGCUGAGGCGUGAUGACGAGGCACUACGGUGCUGAAGCGACAAAUGCCCUGCUUCCAGGAAAAGCCUCUAAGCAUCAGGUAACAUCAAAUCGUACCCCAAACCGACACAGGUGGUCAGGUAGAGAAUACCAAGGCGCUUGAGAGAACUCGGGUGAAGGAACUAGGCAAAAUGGUGCCGUAACUUCGGGAGAAGGCACGCUGAUAUGUAGGUGAAGCGACUUGCUCGUGGAGCUGAAAUCAGUCGAAGAUACCAGCUGGCUGCAACUGUUUAUUAAAAACACAGCACUGUGCAAACACGAAAGUGGACGUAUACGGUGUGACGCCUGCCCGGUGCCGGAAGGUUAAUUGAUGGGGUUAGCGGUAACGCGAAGCUCUUGAUCGAAGCCCCGGUAAACGGCGGCCGUAACUAUAACGGUCCUAAGGUAGCGAAAUUCCUUGUCGGGUAAGUUCCGACCUGCACGAAUGGCGUAAUGAUGGCCAGGCUGUCUCCACCCGAGACUCAGUGAAAUUGAACUCGCUGUGAAGAUGCAGUGUACCCGCGGCAAGACGGAAAGACCCCGUGAACCUUUACUAUAGCUUGACACUGAACAUUGAGCCUUGAUGUGUAGGAUAGGUGGGAGGCUUUGAAGUGUGGACGCCAGUCUGCAUGGAGCCGACCUUGAAAUACCACCCUUUAAUGUUUGAUGUUCUAACGUUGGCCCGUAAUCCGGGUUGCGGACAGUGUCUGGUGGGUAGUUUGACUGGGGCGGUCUCCUCCUAAAGAGUAACGGAGGAGCACGAAGGUUGGCUAAUCCUGGUCGGACAUCAGGAGGUUAGUGCAAUGGCAUAAGCCAGCUUGACUGCGAGCGUGACGGCGCGAGCAGGUGCGAAAGCAGGUCAUAGUGAUCCGGUGGUUCUGAAUGGAAGGGCCAUCGCUCAACGGAUAAAAGGUACUCCGGGGAUAACAGGCUGAUACCGCCCAAGAGUUCAUAUCGACGGCGGUGUUUGGCACCUCGAUGUCGGCUCAUCACAUCCUGGGGCUGAAGUAGGUCCCAAGGGUAUGGCUGUUCGCCAUUUAAAGUGGUACGCGAGCUGGGUUUAGAACGUCGUGAGACAGUUCGGUCCCUAUCUGCCGUGGGCGCUGGAGAACUGAGGGGGGCUGCUCCUAGUACGAGAGGACCGGAGUGGACGCAUCACUGGUGUUCGGGUUGUCAUGCCAAUGGCACUGCCCGGUAGCUAAAUGCGGAAGAGAUAAGUGCUGAAAGCAUCUAAGCACGAAACUUGCCCCGAGAUGAGUUCUCCCUGAGACUUAGAGUCUCCUGAAGGAACGUUGAAGACGACGACGUUGAUAGGCCGGGUGUGUAAGCGCAGCGAUGCGUUGAGCUAACCGGUACUAAUGAACCGUGAGGCUUAACCUU
rnacentral:rRNA from 3 species